AGAGUAGAACGCUGGCGGCGUGCCUAACACAUGCAAGUCGAGCGAUUCUCUUCGGAGAAGAGCGGCGGACGGGUGAGUAACGCGUGGGUAACCUGCCCUGUACACACGGAUAACAUACCGAAAGGUAUGCUAAUACGAGAUAAUAUACUUUUAUCGCAUGGUAGAGGUAUCAAAGCUUUUGCGGUACAGGAUGGACCCGCGUCUGAUUAGCUAGUUGGUAAGGUAACGGCUUACCAAGGCGACGAUCAGUAGCCGACCUGAGAGGGUGAUCGGCCACAUUGGAACUGAGACACGGUCCAAACUCCUACGGGAGGCAGCAGUGGGGAAUAUUGCACAAUGGGCGAAAGCCUGAUGCAGCAACGCCGCGUGAGCGAUGAAGGCCUUCGGGUCGUAAAGCUCUGUCCUCAAGGAAGAUAAUGACGGUACUUGAGGAGGAAGCCCCGGCUAACUACGUG
rnacentral:rRNA from 1 species